AAGUUGUUGCAGUUAAAAAGCUCGUAGUUGGAUUUCGGGUGGGGUGGUGCGGUCCGCCUCUGGUGUGCACUGCUCUGCUCCACCUUCCUGCCGGGGACGGGCUCCUGGGCUUCACUGUCUGGGACUCGGAGUCGGCGAGGUUACUUUGAGUAAAUUAGAGUGUUCAAAGCAGGCCUACGCUCUGAAUACAUUAGCAUGGAAUAACACGAUAGGACUCUGGCCUAUCUGUUGGUCUGUGGGACCGGAGUAAUGAUUAAGAGGGGUAGUCGGGGGCAUUCGUAUUCCGUUGUCAGAGGUGAAAUUCUUGGAUUUACGGAAGACGAACAUCUGCGAAAGCAUUUGCCAAGGAUACUUUCAUUGAUCAAGAACGAAAGUUGGGGGCUCGAAGACGAUUAGAUACCGUCGUAGUCUCAACCAUAAACGAUGCCGACUAGGGAUUGGCAGAUGUUCUUUUGAUGACUCUGCCAGCACCUUAUGAGAAAUCAAAGUUUUUGGGUUCCG
rnacentral:ncRNA from 2 species